rnacentral:tRNA from 1 species
GCCUGGGCGGCUCAGUCGGUUAAGCGUCUGACUUCAGCUCAGGUCACGAUCUCGCGGUUCGUGGGUUCGAGCCCCGCGUCGGGCU